GGGUUCUCUUUGAUUUGGUGUUCCCACAUCCUGGCCCUCUUGAGUGUGUCAUCUCUGGAAUGGGCCCGCAUCUGAGAAGAGGAGGUCCAGUGGAGGAGGCCAUAACUCCUGUGCCAAAGGCAGGGCCCAGUGUGUCAUCUCUGGAAUGGGCCCGGCCUCUGGCAAGAGGAGGGCUAGUGGAGGAAGCCACAAGCUUGGGCCAGAGGCAGGGCCCCAUCACUUCAGCUUAGAGCUCAGGAUUGAUGGUGUGGGCACUGGACUCUACAGGACCAGGGCUGCUGCCCAGCUAGAACCUGAACUGUCUGUCCCCUGAUGUCCCCAUGAUGGCAGCUUCAAAGUACAUAAUGUUGGACUGUGCCUCACCCCCCAGUUUCACUGGGGAAACAGAAGUAGCUGGAGGCAACCUCCUUGGCUGAGAGACUUUGACCAGGGCCUUCUUCCCUGAUUAACCCUUUCCAGAUGCCUGCUGUCCUCAGGAUGGCUGAUCAUAAGACCUGAAUUCCCCCCAUCCCCCU